rnacentral:rRNA from 1 species
CCUGGCUCAGGAUGAACGCUAGCUACAGGCUUAACACAUGCAAGUCGAGGGGCAGCGGGAUUGAAGCUUGCUUCAAUUGCCGGCGACCGGCGCACGGGUGAGUAACGCGUAUCCAACCUUCCGUACACUCAGGGAUAGCCUUUCGAAAGAAAGAUUAAUACCUGAUGGUAUGAUGAGUCCGCAUGUUCACAUGAUUAAAGGUAUUCCGGUAGACGAUGGGGAUGCGUUCCAUUAGAUAGUAGGCGGGGUAACGGCCCACCUAGUCUUCGAUGGAUAGGGGUUCUGAGAGGAAGGUCCCCCACAUUGGAACUGAGACACGGUCCAAACUCCUACGGGAGGCAGCAGUGAGGAAUAUUGGUCAAUGGGCGAGAGCCUGAACCAGCCAAGUAGCGUGAAGGAUGACUGCCCUAUGGGUUGUAAACUUCUUUUAUAAAGGAAUAAAGUCGGGUAUGGAUACCCGUUUGCAUGUACUUUAUGAAUAAGGAUCGGCUAACUCCGUG